UACGUAGGGUGCGAGCGUUAAUCGGAAUUACUGGGCGUAAAGCGUGCGCAGGCGGUUCGCCAAGUCAGGUGUGAAAUCCCCGGGCUUAACCUGGGAAUUGCGCUUGAAACUAGCGGGCUUGAGUGUGGCAGAGGGGGGUGGAAUUCCACGUGUAGCAGUGAAAUGCGUAGAGAUGCGGAGGAACACCGAUGGCGAAGGCAAUCCCCUGGGCCUGCACUGACGCUCAUGCACGAAAGCGUGGGGAGCAAACAGG
rnacentral:rRNA from 1 species